CCUGCCUGCCUGCCUUUAUCAAAGACCUGGUAGCUUUGCCUCCUACCUGCGUGGGGCUUCUGGAAUUUUCUACCUGGGUGUCCCUUGGACCUGUAGCCCCGCAAGUGGCACGCUGCAUCCAUCCUAUGCCUGUGACAGCAGCUGCACAGAGCAGGUGCCUCAAAGGUGUACUCUGGAGGCUUCUCAGUCCUAGGAGGUGGGACCUGGCGCACAAAGGGCCCUCCAGUCUCAGGAGCAGGUGUUCUCAGGCUCCAGCCAAGUGGGCCUGCCGUGCAGCCAGUCUCCAGCAUCCCCGCCGACACCUCCAGGAGCAGCAGGAGCCCCACCGCCUCCUGAGCAGGGCGACCCUGGUCUGUGUCUGCCUUGGCCUGCAGGAUGCUGCCUGUGUCCCCGGAGGUGAAGACCAGCCCGCUGCAGAAGGCGAACUUCUGCUCGCGCCUGUUUGUCUGGUGGCUAAACCCUUUAUUUAAAAUCGGUCACAAACGGAAAUUAGAACCAGAUGACAUGUAUUCAGUGCUUCCAGAAGAUCGCUCCCAGCGCCUUGGAGAAGAGCUGCAAGGGCGCUGGGAUCAGGAAGCGAAGAGAGCCCAGAAGGACGCACGGGAGCCUUCCUUAACGAAAGCGAUCGUAAAGUGUUACUGGAAACCCUAUGUAGUUUGGGGAAUGUUUGCAUUUCUUGAGGAAGGCACCAGAGUAGUUCAACCCAUAUUUUGGGGGAAAAUUAUUAGUUAUGUUGAAAACUAUGAUCCUAAUGAUUCUGCCGCUUUGCACCAAGCCUACGGCUACGCGGCAGGGCUGAGCGCCUGCGUGCUCCUGUGGGCCGUUCUGCACCACUUGUACUUCUACCACAUGCAGCGCGUGGGGAUGAAGCUGAGAGUAGCCGUGUGCCACAUGAUCUACCGCAAGGUGACGAUGUUCUUGCACUAUCUGUGGGUGGGGCCACUGCAGGCUGUCGCAGUGACCGCCCUGCUCUGGAUGGAAAUAGGAAUAUCAUGUCUUGCCGGGAUGGCAGUUCUCAUUAUUCUUCUGCUUUUGCAAAGCUGCUUCGUGAAGUUGUUUUCAUCACUCUGGAGUAAGACCGCUGCUCUCACAGACAAGAGGAUCAGGACCAUGAGCGAAGUCAUAACUGGCAUCAGAACAAUAAAAAUGAAUGCUUGGGAAAAGUCAUUUAUAGACCGUAUUACCAGACUGAGAAGUAAGGAAAUUUCCAAGAUUCUGAAAAGUUCCUACCUUAGAGGCAUGAAUUUGGCAUCAUUUUUCACUGUGAGCAAAAUCAUGAUUUUUGUCACCUUCAUCACCAAUGAGCUCCUUGACAACCUGGUCACAGCCAGCCAAGUGUUUGUGGUGGUGACGCUGUUCGAGGCUCUGCGGUUUUCGAGUACCCUCUAUUUCCCCAUGGCCAUCGAGAAGGUGUCAGAGGCCGUCGUCAGCAUCCAAAGAAUCAAGAACUUUCUGUUACUUGAUGAGAUAACACAGUGUUACCCUCUGCUGCCAUCAGAUAGUAAAACGAUCGUGGAUGUGCAAGCUUUUACAGCUUCUUGGGAAAAGGCAUCAGAGACCCCAUCCCUACAAGGCAUUUCCUUUACUGUCAGACCUGGUGAACUGUUAGUUGUGGUUGGACCUGUGGGAGCAGGAAAGUCAUCACUGUUAAGCGCUCUGCUGGGGGAGCUGCCCCCGAGCCAGGGGAAGGUCAGCGUGCACGGGAGGAUCGCCUAUGUUUCUCAGCAGCCCUGGGUGUUUCCAGGGACUGUAAAGAGUAACAUUUUAUUUGGGAAGAAAUAUGAAGAAGACAGAUAUGAAGAAGUAAUAAGGGCUUGUGCUUUGGAAGAGGAUUUACAGCUUUUGGAGGAAGGAGAUCUAACUGAGAUAGGAGACAGAGGAACCCCGCUGAGUGAAGGACAGAAAGCCCGGGUCAGCCUCGCCAGAGCCGUGUAUCAGGACGCAGACAUCUACCUCCUGGACGAUCCGCUCAGCGCAGUGGAUGCAGGAGUCAGCAGACACUUGUUCGAAGAGUGUGUUCGUCAGGCCUUGAAGGAGAAGAUCACAAUCUUAGUCACUCAUCAGCUGCAGCACCUAAAAGAUGCAAGUCAGAUUCUGAUACUGAAAGAUGGCAAAAUGGUGGAAAGAGGAACUUACUCUGAGUUCCUGAAAUCUGGGGUAGAUAUUUUUUCCCUUUUUGAGAAGGGGAAUGAGCAGUCUGAACCAUCUCCAGUCCCAGGAGCUGCCACUGCGAUCUCUGAGUCUUUGGUUCAGUCUUUCCAGUCUCCCAGACCCUCAUUGAAAGAUGCGGCUCCAGAGGACCAAGAAACUGAGAAUAUACAGUUAACACUACCUCUAGAGGACUACUUGGAAGGAAAAGUUGGUUUUAAGACCUAUAAGAAUUACUUCACAGCUGGUGCUGACUGGCUUGUCAUCAUCUUCCUUAUUCUAGUAAACAUCGCUGCUCAGGUUGCCUACGUCCUGCAGGAUUGGUGGCUUGCAUUCUGGGCGAAUCUACAAAGUGACCUGUAUUCUGGGGCAUUAGUAAAAGAAGAUGAAGCUGUAGCGUUAGUUCUGAACUGGUACUUAGGAGUUUAUUCAGGGUUAACUGUGUCUACUAUCCUUUUUGGCAUCACACGGUCUCUGUUGAUAUUCUACAUCCUUGUUAAUUCUUCACGAACUUUGCACAACAAAAUGUUGGAGACCAUUUUAAGAGCUCCAGUAUUGUUCUUCCAUAGAAAUCCAAUAGGAAGAAUUUUAAAUCGUUUCUCCAAAGACAUUGGGCAUAUGGAUGACUUGCUGCCUCUGAUAUUUCAAGAUUUCAUGCAGGCAUUUCUACUUGUGGUUGGUGUGGUGGGCGUGAUGGUGGCUGCAGUUCCUUGGACUGCUAUACCUGUGAUUCCCCUUGGCAUCAUUUUCUUUUUUCUUCGGCGAUAUUUCUUAGAGACGUCACGAGAUGUGAAACGCCUGGAAUGUACAACUCGGAGCCCGGUAUUUUCUCACUUAGCAUCUUCUCUCCGGGGACUCUGGACCAUCAGGGCAUACAAAGCUGAACAGAAGUUUCAGGAGCUGUUUGAUGCACACCAGGAUUUGCACUCAGAGGCAUGGUUCCUGCUUGUGAUGACAUCCCGAUGGCUCACUGUGUAUCUGGAUGUCGUCUGUGCCAUCUUUGUCACCCUUAUUGCCUUUGGAUCCCUGAUUCUGGCAAAAACUUUGGAUCUCGGGCAGGUUGGCCUGGUCCUGUCUCUCACGUUCACACUCACGGGGAUUUUCCAGUGGUGCAUCAGGCAAAGUGCCGAAGUUGAGAACAUGAUGAUUUCAGUGGAAAGGGGGAUUGAAUAUACAGACCUUGAGAAAGAAGCACCCUGGGAACUUGAGAAUCGCCCACCACCAAUCUGGCCUCCAAACGGAAGGAUUUCCUUUUCCAGUGUGAACUUGAGAUAUAACUUGGACAGUCCUCUGGUAUUGAGGAACCUGGAAGCAUUCAUUUACCCAGGAGGAAAGUAUGGCAUCGUGGGAAGAACAGGAGCUGGAAAAAGUUCCCUCAUUGCUGCCCUUUUUAGAUUGUCAGAACCUGAAGGUGGCAUUUACAUUGAUGACAUCUUGACAACCAGUAUUGGACUUCACGAUUUAAGGAAGAAAAUGUCGGUUGCACUUCAGGAACCUGUUUUAUUCACUGGAACAAUGAGGGAAAAUCUGGAUCCCUGUCAUGAGCAUACGGAUAACGAACUGUGGAAUGCCUUAGAAGAGGUACAACUUAAAGAAUCCAUUGAAAGUCUUCCUGCUAAAAUGAAUACUGAAUUAGCAGAAUCUGGAUUGAACUUGAGUGCUGGUCAGAAACAACUGGUGUGCCUUGCCAGGGCUCUUCUCAGGAAGAAUCAAGUAUUGAUUCUUGACAAAGCCACAUCAUACGUGAAUCCAAGAACUGAUGAGUUAAUACAAAAAAAAAUUCGUGAGAGAUUUGCCCAGUGCACUGUGGUGAUCAUUGCACACAGGUUGAGCACCAUUAUUGACUCUGAUUGGAUAAUGGUUUUGGAUUCAGGGACACGGAAAGAAUAUAAUCGGCCAUAUAAGUUGCUGCGAGAUAGAAACAGCCUGUUUUACAAGCUGGUGCAUCAACUGGGUGAGGCGGAGGCUGCUGAUCUCACUGAAAGGGAAAAAUAG
rnacentral:lncRNA from 1 species